rnacentral:lncRNA from 1 species
CAUAAUAAAAGAAGAAUACCAAUAUAGUAUAAAAAUGAAAAAUGAACAAACUGUCCCCAGGCUUUAAAACAAGUUGUUUUAAUCUUGAGCAAUUCAGCUCUUAAUUUAGGGUUAGAUUCAACUCCCAUUGAAGUCAAUAGCUGUAUGUUUUGAGAGGAAUUUAAUGAGGCUUGUCACUUAGCUUUGUUUACUCUCUCAUCAAGGAUAUUUAACUAAAUUCAUUUAGAAAAGGCUAUCCAGUGCUUAAUGGGAAAGCAUAUUUUAUAAAUGUGCUUAUACUUUGAAUAGGAUUGUUUUGAAACAGGGUUUUUUUUCCUUCCAAGUUUUAUAUUAAAUAUGUAAGCAGUAUCGAUAAAUCCUUCGUGAUAUAUGCACUUAAUAAUUCUAAUCCAAAUAACACCAGGAAGUACAGGUGUUUGUUUUCCUUCCCCAGGAUGAUUUGCCCUUUAAUUAAUAUGUGUUAUACAUUAAAAAAGCCCAGUGGGAUGUUGCUGUCUUAUUUAAGUGAUGGCUUUGGAACUUUGUGCUGUCAGUUUUGCAGAGAUCCUCAGUGAUGGACCCCAGAUGAUAAAAGCAAAAGUCAUCCCAGGAGAAGGGGAACAGCGGUGCUGGAAGAGCUGCCUGGAGAGGAGCCUAUUGUCUCUGGGGAGUGUCUGAGGAUGCUAUAUCACCACAUCAACCUACAGAUCAAUUAAAAGUGGAAUAAAUUACUGUUCUGUCUGUGCA